UACGUAGGGACCAAGCGUUGUUCGGAUUUACUGGGCGUAAAGGGCGCGUAGGCGGCAAUUCAAGUCAUCUGUGAAAUCUCCGGGCUUAACUCGGAACGGUCAGAUGAUACUGCUCGGCUAGAGUGCGGAAGGGGCAACUGGAAUUCUUGGUGUAGCGGUGAAAUGCGCAGAUAUCGGGAAGAACACCCGUGGCGAAGGCGGUUCUCUGGGACGGUACUGACGCUGAGACGCGAAAGCGUGGGGAGCGAACAGG
rnacentral:rRNA from 1 species